AAACUAUCCUUACAAUAUCAGAUGUAUACCAGCCGGUAUCCUUACUAAAUCAGAUGUAGUCAUCCUGUAUCCUUACAUUAACAGAUGUAUGCCAAAAUGUAUCCUUACAGUAUCAGAUGUAUGCCAAACUGUAUCCUUACAAAAUCCCAUGUAUGCAAAACUAUCCUUACAAUAUAAGAUGUAUGCCAGCCUGUAUCCUUACAAAAUCAGAUGUAUGCCAGCCUGUAUCCUAACAAAAUCAGAUGUAUGCCAAACUAUAUCCUUACAAAAUCAGAUGUAUGACCUCAUGUAUCCUUAGAUUCCUUACUUUAUCAGAUGUAUGCCAAACUAUAUCCUUACAAAAUCAGAUGUAUGCAAAACUAUCC
rnacentral:lncRNA from 1 species